UGGGGAAUUUUGGACAAUGGGCGAAAGCCUGAUCCAGCAAUGCCGCGUGUGUGAAGAAGGCCUUCGGGUUGUAAAGCACUUUUGUCCGGAAAGAAAUCCUUGGCUCUAAUACAGUCGGGGGAUGACGGUACCGGAAGAAUAAGCACCGGCUAACUACGUGCCAGCAGCCGCGGUAAUACGUAGGGUGCAAGCGUUAAUCGGAAUUACUGGGCGUAAAGCGUGCGCAGGCGGUUUGCUAAGACCGAUGUGAAAUCCCCGGGCUCAACCUGGGAACUGCAUUGGUGACUGGCAGGCUAGAGUAUGGCAGAGGGGGGUAGAAUUCCACGUGUAGCAGUGAAAUGCGUAGAGAUGUGGAGGAAUACCGAUGGCGAAGGCAGCCCCCUGGGCCAAUACUGACGCUCAUGCACGAAAGCGUGGGGAGCAAACAGGAUUAGAUACCCUGGUAGUCCAGCGCCCUAAACGAUGUCAACUAGUUGUUGGGGAUUCAUUUCCUAGUAACGUAGCUAACGCGUGAAGUUGACCGCCUGGGGAGUACGGUCGCAAGAUUAAAACUCAAAGGAAUUGACGGGUCAUAGCUG
rnacentral:rRNA from 1 species